rnacentral:rRNA from 1 species
GGUCUUUGCAGUAAUGCAAGGCAUACGGCUCAGUAACACGUAGUCAACUUACCCUAUGGACGAGGAUAAUCUCGGGAAACUGAGCAUAAUACUCGAUAGAUCAUAAUGCCUGGAAUGGUUUAUGGUUGAAAUGAUUCGUCGCCAUAGGAUGGGACUGCGGCCUAUCAGCUUGUUGGUGAGGUAAUGGCCCACCAAGGCGAUUACAGGUACGGGCUCUGAGAGGAGAGGCCCGGAGAUGGGUACUGAGACAAGGACCCAGGCCCUAUGGGGCGCAGCAGGCGAGAAAACUUUGCAAUGUGCGAAAGCACGACAAGGUUAAUCCGAGUGAUUUCUGCUAAAGAAAUCUUUUGCAAGUCAUAAAACCACUAGUGAAUAAGGGGUGGACAAGUUCUGGUGUCAGCCGCCGCGGUAAAACCAGCACCUCAAGUGGUCAGGAGGAUUAUCGGGCCUAAAGCAUCCGUAGCCGGCUCUGUAAGUUUUCGGUUAAAUCCAUGUGCUCAACGCAUGGGCUGCCGAAAAUACUGCAUAGCUAGGGAGUGGGAGAGGUAGACGGUACUCGGUAGGAAGGGGUAAAAUCCUUUGAUCUAUCGAUGACCACCUGUGGCGAAGGCGGUCUACCAGAACACGUUCGACGGUGAGGGAUGAAAGCUGGGGGAGCAAACCGGAUUAGAUACCCGGGUAGUCCCAGCUGUAAACGAUGCAGACUCGAUGAUGCAUUG